GAUGAACGCUGGCGGCGUGCUUAACACAUGCAAGUCGAACGGUGAAGGCGGAGCUUGCUCUGCUGGAUCAGUGGCGAACGGGUGAGUAACACGUGAGCAAUCUGCCCCUGACUCUGGGAUAAGCGCUGGAAACGGCGUCUAAUACUGGAUACGAGCUGCGAAGGCAUCUUCAGCAGCUGGAAAGAAUUUCGGUCAGGGAUGAGCUCGCGGCCUAUCAGCUUGUUGGUGAGGUAAUGGCUCACCAAGGCGUCGACGGGUAGCCGGCCUGAGAGGGUGACCGGCCACACUGGGACUGAGACACGGCCCAGACUCCUACGGGAGGCAGCAGUGGGGAAUAUUGCACAAUGGGCGAAAGCCUGAUGCAGUAACGCCGCGUGAGGGACGACGGCCUUCGGGUUGUAAACCUCUUUUAGCAGGGAAGAAGCGAAAGUGGCGGUACCUGCAGAAAAAGCGCCGGCUAACUACGUG
rnacentral:rRNA from 1 species